CACUCACAGAGGCUGAGCAGUUGGCCCUCAGCCAAAACAGUGGGCGCCCUGUGGCUGAAGGCAUCUCUGCAGGGACAUCCUCUGAGUCAAUAACCCCGCAAGACACAAGUGCCUACAUAAGAGUUGAUGGUGAUGGUGUACUGCAUCUGGUGCAGCCUCCUGUUGAGCCAGACCAACAUGCAGUUGAAAAUAAUGAAGAAACAUUGACAGCUGUUACAGAGGAGGAAGCAACAGAGACACUUUAUGAGAGUGAUGAUGGAAAUGCAGAGGAAGAGGGUCCAGCCACUUCUCCAACAAACCUUUCCUCAGUAAGAUGUUCAGCACUGAUUUACAACCAACCUAAGUAGGCAUGUACUAUGAAUGUCAAUGCUAUUUCCUGUGUUUCAAUAGUUCCCUGUAAAGCAGCUGUAUAAGAAAUAUUUGAUCAAGAAAAUAAAAAAAUGCGACUUGGAAAUGGAACACUUCAAGCAGCAGAUCCAAAAGACCAAGAUUGAGAUUUUACUGCUGGAACAUCAGUUAAGGGUGGGUGAAGUGGUCAGAGAUGGACGAAUUAUUUCAGUGUUUGAACAACAUAAUAAUAUACUUAUUAAUACUUUGUGUACAGGAAAUACAGGCGACCAAUAAAGCCAGUUGAAC
ensembl:lncRNA